AUCACAGCGACCUCAUGUUCGGCAGAAUGCAGCAGAAACCAUAGUAGUCGUCCUGACCAGACGAUGAAGGGU
rfam:Geobacter sp. M18, complete genome.